rnacentral:rRNA from 1 species
UACGUAGGGCGCGAGCGUUGUCCGGAUUUAUUGGGCGUAAAGAGCUCGUAGGCGGCUUGUCGCGUCGAAUGUGAAAACUCGGGGCUCAACUCCGAGCUUGCAUUCGAUACGGGCAGGCUAGAGUUCGGUAGGGGAGACUGGAAUUCCUGGUGUAGCGGUGAAAUGCGCAGAUAUCAGGAGGAACACCGGUGGCGAAGGCGGGUCUCUGGGCCGAUACUGACGCUGAGGAGCGAAAGCGUGGGGAGCGAACAGG